UCGUACCUUGUUGCUUCGGCGGGCCCGCCGUUUCGACGGCCGCCGGGGAGGCCCUGCGCCCCCGGGCCCGCGCCCGCCGAAGACCCCAACAUGAACGCUGUUCUGAAAGUAUGCAGUCUGAGUUGAUUAUCGUAAUCAGUUAAAACUUUCAACAACGGAUCUCUUGGUUCCGGCAUCGAUGAAGAACGCAGCGAAAUGCGAUAAGUAAUGUGAAUUGCAGAAUUCAGUGAAUCAUCGAGUCUUUGAACGCACAUUGCGCCCCCUGGUAUUCCGGGGGGCAUGCCUGUCCGAGCGUCAUUGCUGCCCUCAAGCACGGCUUGUGUGUUGGGCCCCCGUCCCCCUCUCCCGGGGGACGGGCCCGAAAGGCAGCGGCGGCACCGCGUCCGGUCCUCGAGCGUAUGGGGCUUUGUCACCUGCUCUGUAGGCCCGGCCGGCGCCAGCCGACACCCAACUUUAUUUUUCUAAGGUUGACCUCGGAUCAGGUAGGGAUACCCGCUGAACUUAA
rnacentral:rRNA from 1 species